rnacentral:lncRNA from 1 species
UAUUUUUUUUUUAAUUUUUCAAAUUUUGAUUCUUGUGGUGUGUCUAGUGUUGAGUCAAUCGAGUUUGGAUGACACAAUGUCCCAGAUGUUUGGGGGUGACAUUGUGUUGUUAAGUGUGUGCAAGAUGAAGAAUCGGCAAAUAGAAAACUAACACACGGGAGCGUGUUGUAUCAUCUGAGAUCAGUGCCUCCUAACAUACGGGCGUGUAUUGACAAUACAC